UAGGACUAACGUUAAAUCGAAUGGAUUGAAGACAUCCAGAAGACAAAACUUCAAACAGAACUGCAACUUUCUGAACUGCCUGUACUGCAUCGAAUGCUGGCUUCGGUCAGGUUUUUUAUAGUGGAUAAAAGAUCUGAAUUGAUGGCGAGCCUCCCAGAAUCCCGAAUCUGAACUUCCCUUCACCUUUCAUUUCCCUUCACACCACUGUGGUAGGACUGUAAGACUGACCCAGACUGACCUUUUGACUAUUCCCUGACUUAACCUCCUGAU